UCAAGAUAAUAACCAAAAACAGCAAAAUUUCCUUAAAAAUACCAAUUCAGGGGCAGCAACCCUACAACGGGUUGUCGGAUUCAUCUGAAAAUUUGAGGGCAGAAAGAUCUUGACCUGAUAAACAAUUUUACCCCACGUCAGAUUUGCUCUAAAUGCUUUGGUUUUUGAGUUAUAAGCCAAAAACUGCAUUUUACCCCUAUGUUCUAUUUUUAGCCAUGGCGGCCACCUUGGUUGGUUGGGCUGGUCACGCCACACAUUUUUUAAACUAGAUACCCCAAUGAUGAUUGUGGCCAAGUUUUGUUUAAUUUGGCCCAAUAGUUUCAGAGGAGAAGAUUUUUGUAAAAGAUUACUAAGAUUUACGAAAAAAUGGUUAAAAUUUGACUAUAAAGGGCAAUAACUCCUAUAGGGGUCAUUUGACCAUUUCGUUCGUGUUGACAUAUUUGUAAAUCUUACUUUGCUGAACAUUAUUGCUGUAUACAGUUUAUCUCUAUCUAUAAUAAUAUUCAAGAUAAUAACCAAAAACAGCAAAAUUUCCUUAAAAAUACCAAUUCAGGGGCAGCAACCCAACAACAGGUUGUCUGAUUCAUCUGAAAAUUUCAGGACAGAUAGAUCUUGACCUGAUUAACACUUUUAACCCAUGUCAGAUUUGCUCUAAAUGCUUUGGUUUUUGAGUUAUAAGCCAAAAACUGCAUUUUACCCCUAUGUUCUAUUUUUAGCCAUGGCAGCCAUCUUGGUUGGUUGGCCGGGUCACGCCACACAUUUUUUAAACUAGAUACCCCAAAGAUGAUUGUGGCCAAGCUUGGAUUAAUUUGGCCCAGUAGUUUCAGAGGAGAAGAUUUUUGUAAAAGAUUUCUAAGAUUUACGAAAAACGGUUAAAAAUUGACUAUAAAGGUCAAUAACUCCUAAAGGGGUCAACUGACCAUUUUAGUCAUGUUGGCUUAUUUGUAAAUCUAACUUUGCUGAACAUUAUUGCUGUUUACAGUUUAUCUCUAUCUAUAAUAAUAUUCAAGAUAAUAACCAAAAACUGCAAAAAAUCCCUAAAAUUACCAAUUCAGGGGCAGUAACCCAACAACGGGUUGUCGGAUUCAUCUGAAAAUUUGAGGGCAGAAAGAUCUUGACCUGAUAAACAAUUUUACCCCAUGUCAGAUUUGCUCUAAAUGCUUUGGUUUUUGAGUUAUAAGCCAAAAAACUGCAUUUUACCCCUAUGUUCUAUUUUUAGCCAUGGCGGCCAUCUUGGUUGGUUGGCCGGGUCACGCCACACAUUUUUUAAACUAGAUACCUCAAUGAUGAUUGUGGCCAAGUUUGGUUUGAUUUGGCCCAGUAGUUUCAGAGGAGAAGAUUUUUGUAAAAGUUAACGACGACGGACGACACGACACGACGACGACGACGGACGACGGACGACGGACGACGGACGACGGACGCCAAGUGAUGGGAAAAGCUCACUUGGCCCUUCGGGCCAGGUGAGCUAAAAAACCGAACUUGAAAUGCGUAAUUGACCCAGACUUUAAAUCAUUUCCGGAAAGGACCCAAAGUUCCGGAUCGCGUCAAUAGAGGUAUUAAAAAAAAAUUCUUCAAAUUUAAAGCAAUAAAAUUUUCACAGUCGGGAGGAUUUUCAAGGGUCGGUCGGUAAACUGCAAACAAAC
rnacentral:lncRNA from 1 species